CUGUUGGUCAUUGCAUAAUCAAACGGGCCUUCAGUCCAAAAUAGGGAAUAGCACCCGCUUUCGUUGAGCAUCGAAUUUGAACUCGACUCACACAGAAACCGUGACGCAAACCGCAAUGGCUGCUAGGCACAUUCUGCUUCACCGCCUUCGGUGGCGUAGCUUCCAAGGGUCCACCGCGGCGGCACCUCAGAGCCACCGUCUAUGGUGCAGUGCCACGUCAUCACCGGAAGAACCAAACUCGAACGCAAGUUGCGGGACCCACACCUGCAGCCAGGAAUACCUCGAGUGGAAGGAGAAAGAAGAGAAGAUCGUGAGGGACAUUCAACCAAUCGUUUCGCUAACCAGGAACAUUCUCUACUCGCCAAGGUACAUGAACGGGGAGCAUUUGAGUAUGGAGGACGAAAGAGCCGUGGUGGAGAACGUUCUCAUUUACCAUCCGCAUUAUGAAGAUAAAAUCGGAAGUGGCUUGAACUCCAUUAUGGUUAUCACUCGUAGUUUUACUAGUGCACAAAAGACUGAGGUGAUAGAGCUUUGUGGAGUUGUUCCCUGUGGCUGAGUCUAUGAUAUCAUGACUGGGUAGUGACCAAUGAGAAGUUAAGCGUUAGAACUCUGAUCACGCACAAAAAAACAGAAAUGAAAUGAUCAACAAAAGAGAGCAGAGACCUGUGCUGCAAACCACAAAAUGAAAGGCAAGACUGCAACUCAAUGGACAUGUAGAACAGAGAACUCUGAGUGAAAAUUGAAAAUGGGGCCUAUGAAGCUCGGAUACUUAGUACGACACAGGUACAGCACUGAUACUUUUCCAUUUUUUGAAGUACUUGGGCUUCAUAUACAACACAGUGGGCAGAGCAGAGAAAUUGAGCAAUGAGCUUAACCAGAAAAUGCCUAGUUUGGCUGGAACUAUUCUAGCGAGUAGUGAGUUGAAGGGCUUUUGUCCAAACAGAGGAGAGACCUGAAAUGACCAGGCUAGCAGUGAAAAGUGAGGAAUUUGAAGGAAAAAGGUGAAUAUCCAUGACUUGCAAAUGAAGUUAACAGAGUUAGUUGGAUCAAGUAAGAAAUUGGGGAAUGAUCCAUAAAUCAAAGGGGAUUAAAGGUCCACUUGUAGAAAGGUCCUAAACUAUUCUGUAUAUAAAAACAGGUUGAUCAUCAUCCCUUAUAUUUAUACCCAAGGUGCCUUUUUGUUGUAAGAACUGAUGGUAGCUGGAUCGACUUCUCCUAUCGGGUGUGCCUUGAGGAAUACAUUAAAAAUAAGUACCAAAUAAGUGCUGAAAGGUUUGUUAAUAAAAGGUUUCUUAAAAAUCUUAUUAAGCAUUGGGGUAUUUGAUAUGUAUGUAUUAGAACAUACAAUUUGUGAAGUAUAUGAUAGUUGAUAACAAUUGACCGGGUUAUCUAGCUUAUUUGUGAACGGAACAGAGAAAUGAAUUGAAGUCAACUUGCCUUUUGUUAAGUUGCGGAACACUUUGCUUUGUAGAAAUUCAUGAAUAGGUAACUUGGAGAUAGCAAGGAAUGAUGUUUUUGUUGA